GAAAUGCGAUAAGUAGUGUGAAUUGCAGAAUUCAGUGAAUCAUCGAAUCUUUGAACGCACAUUGCGCCCCUUGGUAUUCCAUGGGGCAUGCCUGUUCGAGCGUCAUUUGUACCCUCAAGCUCUGCUUGGUGUUGGGUGUUUGUCCCGUCUCCGCGCGUGGACUCGCCCCAAAGUGAUUGGCAGCCGGCGUACUGGUCCCGGAGCGCAGCACAUGUCGCGCAAACGAGUGCCUUGGUACGGCGGCGUCCAUAAGCCCCUCUCUCCCGCUCUUGACCUCGGAUCAGGUAGGGAUACCCGCUGAACUUAAGC
rnacentral:misc_RNA from 1 species